rnacentral:lncRNA from 10 species
AUCUAACUUUGGAGUUCCAAGUUCCAGUGCUACAUUCUCCAUCAGUGCCUUAUGUUAGAGAAUGUGAUGAGCUUUGCCUGUGGAGACAGGAUCCCAGGGAAAUGACAAUAACAAAAGAAAGAAGAAAGAAUAUGAGCUUCCUCCAGACAUCAUCAAAGAUCAUUGCCAAAGUUUUGAUGGGCUUUGAUUAAGGUAUCCUGGGACCUCAGCACAACCAACAAUAAAGAGAGAAGGAAGAAGACCCAGGACCAGGACAGGUAAAGGAAAACCAACCCAGCAGCAGGGCUGUUCCUGAGGGACAGUAGCUACAUUAACACAUAAAGUAAGUGACAUCUGUGUAGACUUAGACCCAUUGACAACAGCUGUUUCGGGAAAUUCCAAGUGUGGUUAAAACAAGACAGAAUGAGGGGAUAUACUUGAUGUUACAAUGGUAGUUUAAUGUUUCCAGGCCAUUAGUGUAUGAAGAGCAGAUAUCUGGCCAGCAAUUUGCAGUGUGUAAAGAGCCAUACUCACUGGGGAAAAAAGGUGUGCUAGAGAUAGAAUUAGUGUUAAAAUGGUGUAGGUGGGCCAAGCACAGUGGAUCAUGCCUGUAAUUCCAGCACUUUGGGAGGCCAAGGCUGGAAGAUCACCUCAAUUCAGGAGUUUGAGACCAGUCUGGGCAACAUGGCAAAACCCUGUCUCUACAAAAAAUACAAAAAUUAGCCAGGUGUGGUGGUAUGCUCCUAUAGUCCCAGCUCCUCUGGAGGCUGAAGCAGGAGAAUCCCUUGAGCCCGGGAGGUGGAGAUUGCAGUAAGCUGAGAUGGUGCCACUGCACUCCAGCCUGAGUGACAACGCAAGACCCUAUCUCAAAAAAUGAAAUAAACAAGUAAACAUAAAUAAGACAAGAAGGUGUAGGUGUUCACCAACACUCAGUGGGAAACAGCAGUACUAGACAGAGAAAUGAAAACAGAAUCUAACUGAGGAUACUGACACUUUGGUCUGAGCCUGUGUUUGCCUGUGUAAGCCUGUUUAAGGCAAGAGGAUGUCAGCAACUAAAAACUUUUAGACUACUAGAAAAUUAAAUCAGUAGCUAGAGGUAAAAAUACUAAGAGCAUAGUCAGCUUUGUGUAACAAUUAACAUAUGUGCUUAACAUAUUCCUUGUACCAGAGGGUAAACACUUUGCAGGCAAGAAUAAUGCUUAAUUUAUAUAGAAUCCCAAG